UGGGCGCGCCAGGAGAGUGUGUUUUGAGAGUGGGAUUUGGGCAGCUGCAAGGAGAGUGUGUUUUGAGAGUGGGAUUUUGGACGCAAGCCAAGGAGAGUGUGUUUUGAGAUGGGAUUUGGGACGCAAGCCAAGGAGAGUGUGUUUUGAGAGUGGGAUUGGGGAUGAAGCCAAGGAGAGGUGUUUUGAGAGUGGGAUUUGGGACGCAAGCCAAGGAGAGUGUGUUUUGAGAGUGGGAUUUGGGACGCAAGCCAAGGAGAGUGUGUUUUGAGAGUGGGAUUUGGGGCGCUGCCAAGGAGAGUGUGUUUUGAGAGUGGGAUUUGGGGCGCUGCCAAGGAGAGUGUGUUUUGAGAGUGGGAUUUGGGACGCUGCCAAGGAGUGUGUGUUUUGAGAGUGGGAUUUGGGACGCUGCCAAGGAGAGUGUUUUCUUUCACGUGGUGUCUUAAUAUAUUUCUCUUGGUCGACCAUAGUUGCCUUGUGUUUACUAUUUAAAAAAGUAACGUUUUAUUGAAAUGUAUUUUAAUUUAUUUCUCAACCCUAUUUUGACUCCUCUGACACAAGUCUGUAUAUAGAAGCACAGUUGUAUGUAGCACAGUAUAGGCCUAUUGACUUUAAUCCUGUAGAAAACCCCUCUAGAAAAUUGAUUAUCUGCACAUUUAGUAACAAUAUAUUACAUUAUAUGAAGAUUAUUUUAUUUUGAUAAUUUAAAUCUAGAAUCCUUAGUUGCUACAUCCAUUUUUGGACUUUUGGACAAAGGAAUGAUUCUUGAAGAAUAUAACUUGUAAAUGCCUUGUGAGUUUCGUUCAACUGUCACACCCCAUCAGAACACAAUAUAUAAAGUGGUUAUACUCCAAUGUUUGUAAACAAAGUAAAUGUAAACAAAACACUGUAUAGUCUCAAAACAUGGUUCAUACUAUAAUGUUCUCCAGCCUCAUCCCUCAGCUGUUUACCAAAACAGAGACGGGGUGACCCUUUGUUAUUGUUUCAAUGAAGGAUUCCAGAUGUAUCUAUAUCUACCUAUACAGCCUCCUUUUCCACUUGUACUGUUGUGUUUUAGCAGGGGUGAACUGAAUCACAGCUAUAUGAGUCUAAGCUGCUUUCUAGAAUGAUUACAAUGACAAUUAGAAUGGUUAGAAUAUUCUCCAUAGAACAUAGCACGAUUCUAAGAUUCUCAUUCUAAUUAUAUGGGGUUCUCAUCAUGGGUUGGAGGCUUUGUAUGGAGCUGUGUAUCUGGUGCAGUUUGUAAAGUUGAACGGUCCAUUUUGGUGAUUGAAACGCAGUGAAACUGUCAGAUGUUGUGUGUCUUAAAGCAUUGCAGUUGAUAUCAUGUAUCAUGUGAAAAUAAAAUCAAUUUUCUCUAUGACUACAGUAAAAAACCAAGUGUGCCACUGUCUCUGCCUUUCCACAAGCUGAUAGCUGUUAUUGUUUCUGUCUCCGAGGCUGUAUGUUUCCACGGUGACGUCUUUGCCCCGUGGCCUUUAUACACUCAACCAUUUACUGCACAACGUGGGGCCAACUUGUCGUGCUUUGAUUACUACUGUUUUCUGUUCUUGGUGGGAUCAAAACUAG
ensembl:lncRNA